rnacentral:rRNA from 1 species
GACGAACCGUGCGAACGUUAUUCGGAAUCACUGGGCUUAAAGCGCGUGUAGGCGGCCGGCACGUCGGGUGCUGAAAGCCCCCGGCUCAACCGGGGAAGCGGCCUCGAUACGACCGGCCUGGAGGGGGGUAGGGGGAGCCGGAACUUCCGGUGGAGCGGUGAAAUGCGUUGAGAUCGGAAGGAACGCCCGUGGCGAAAGCGGGCUCCUGGACCCCACCUGACGCUGAGACGCGAAAGCCAGGGGAGCGAACGGG